UUCUGCUGAGAUUUGAUGUAACACGAACUAGACAAACAAUUGGAAUCAUAUCACAUCGUCAAAGUGUCGUGGCCCAAUGUGCACUGUAGAAGAACCCUAUCAGGCCUGUGACCCAUUUUUGGGUCUUGACCCACCAGUUCGGAAGUACAGCUCUAAACGAUCUUCUCCAUUUGAGGGCUUCUCAGGCAUCUGGUUCUCAUGCAGAGUGAGUGGAGUGAAAAAUGAGAGGAAAGAAAGAGAGAAAUGGAUUGUGACGGAGGUAGCGAGGGUAAUAGGAUUGAGCCUGGACUCUGCGGGGUUGAGCUGCCCUCCUAACCGGACUCACUUCCUCUUCUCUCCUCUUCCCCACUGCGAGGUCAACCAGUCGUCCAUCAGAUCGCUGGCUAAUCCUUUCACAAUGAUUGAGUUGGACAAGUUUCUGAGACCAAAAGCGUAAAGAAGACGAUGAAUGAAAGAGAGAUCACACCCAAUAGAUGAGGUCGAUGGGAAGACUGAAGACGUUCUCCACAAACUCCUGGAAGGUGCUGAACAAACAGUGCAUCUCUUCUUCUGGGAUGCGGAAACCCAGGAGCACGCGUACUGCCAUGUUGAAUGAUAGCCGCUGGGACUCGCGAUACACAUUGAUGGGGUCAGGAUUGGAGCUCCACACACGUAGGGUCUCCUGAAUGACCUGCUGGAUCUUGGGCAGGUAGCUUUC
rnacentral:lncRNA from 1 species